ACUACGGGUGGCAGCAGUGGGGGAUAUUGCACAAUGGGGGGAACCCUGAUGCAGCGACGCCGCGUGGGUGAAGGAGUGCUUCGGCAUGUAAAGCCCUAUCGGCAGGGAAGAAGCAAGACGGUACCUGACUAAGAAGCCCCGGCUAACUACGUGCCAGCAGCCGCGGUAAUACGUAGGGGGCGAGCGUUAUCCGGAUUCACUGGGUGUAAAGGGAGCGUAGACGGCCAUACAAGCCCAGGGUGAAAGCCCGGGGGGCAACCCCGGGACUGCCCUUGGAACUGCAUGGCUGGAGUGCGGGAGGGGCAGGCGGAAUUCCUGGUGUAGCGGUGAAAUGCGGAGAUAUCAGGAGGAACACCGGCGGCGAAGGCGGCCUGCUGGACCGCGACUGACGUUGAGGCUCGAGAGCGUGGGGAGCGAACAGGAUUAGAUACCCGGGUAGUC
rnacentral:rRNA from 1 species